UGCGGCCGGACGCCCAGGAGCGCACGGCGCCAGCUCCGGUAGGCGGCGGACAGCGCGGGGCGGCGGCGCGGGGCCGGGCCGGGAGCUGUGGCGCACUCGCUUUUCCCCACCCCCGCCCGGUGGCUGGGCGCUGGCGCGGUUCCCUCGCCGUCCCGCGGCCGCUGGAAAUAGAGCCGGGAUGUUGUUUACAUGACGGAUCCGGCGGGAGGAGUCUGCGAGGAGGAGGCGGAGAGAGGAAGAGAGGAGUCCCCGCGGCGGCGGCGGCGGCGGCGGGCCGGGGUACGGGCGAGUCCCGCGCGGUCCCCGAAGCCAGGACGCGGGAGCCUAGGUGACUAACUGGGACUCCAGUGGGAAGGAGAGGAGAACGGUGAGAGGGGAGCACUCCCUAUGAAAAGGGAGCACUUCGAGCCAUUCACCACCUAAGUGUCCCCAGAGUUGCCAGAGAAGACCCUUCUGAAAAAGCCACCUCUCCCUUCCGUGACAUCACCACCUCAACCCUUCCAACUUUAGCUUCAGAACAGGAAGAAGGCUCAAAAUAGAACUACCUUCGGAAUCCAGCGCCUUCACGAGAUCAACUUUGAAACCAGCUGCUAGGGGAACCAAGUGAACUUUGACCCCGAGCAAACGGGGAAGAGAAAGCUGUUGGAACGAUAGGAAAUGUUUUUCUCAAGUUCUUCACUCCACGGGGCACCCUUGCUGGACCUGGUGACUGACAGGCUGCCCUGGCUCAGUUAUCACAGUGCUGAUGCUGUCCAUUCUAAAGGUACAGUACUGUGAUAACUGAAGGAUGGCAGCCAUCUUGCCUUCCUCCUAAGAAGCCUCCUCACCGAAGAUGAAAGAGAACUGGGAAGCAGCCUGCUGGGACGAGACUGGCCACUUCCUGGCGCUCCUGUUUUUAACCAUUUCUAGGCUCCAGGUGGUAGCAGGAAAUAAAAGGGCGUUGUAGUUUGCCUAGUAUGUAAAUGCUGUGGUUCUGAGUAGAUGGAAGGUCUGUGGAGCCUUGGAGUCUUUGGGAGACUGGUGUUACCGAAGUCCUAAGGACAAAUCCGUAUAUCUGGAGUGGUAGUGAGAGAAAUGAGCCAUUUUGUAAAUGCAGAAGGCAACUUGCUUAACAGCUUCGCACUUAGCCCUGCACUGUUAGAUGUUCAAAGUUAAGUAGGGAGAUGAGUGUUGGGUGUCAAACAGUAUCGAUGUCCCAGGAAAAAAAUUACACCCAUACUUAAGGAAUGGAUAGUGACAUGGCUUUUCCAAAAAAUGCAUGUGGAAUGUCACCUCCACAUGGAAACAAAUCAUUUUAUUCUACUAAGUAACGGAGGACCACUCUACACAGCAGCACAGAUCAGCUUCACGGAUGUGAAGUUAGAGGUACCAGCCAGUAUCAUGAUUGCGUGAAAACCUAGACCUUAAUAAAAGCGUGCGAUUUCAGUCCUCAGCAUCUUCAAAAGUACCAUGGGUGGGGCUGUGAACAUGGCUCUGUCACGCGUGUACAGACGUGAGGACCUGAGUUUGGACCCCAGCACCCGUGUGAAAACCCAGGCGUGGUAACAGGCAUUUGUGAUCCCCAUUCUGGAGGGCAGAGAGACAGGUCCCUGGGGCUGCCUGGCCAGCUAGCCUCACUGAAUCCCCACACCAUAGUGAGACAUUUCAAAAAACAAGGGGGACAGCUCCUGGGAGGAACACUGCAGGUUCCCUCUGGCUUCUCUGUGCACACACACAAGGGCAUGUACAUGUAGACAUGCACAUACAUGUAAGAAGGUAGUUGGAAAAGAAUAGAGCUGUUAGAGGACCUGGGGUUUAUCACACUCUUCCAGUCAGCCCUCUCGCUGAGGACACUAAAUACAACAAGAGUACCACGGGUGGUGACAUUGUUGGGUCCCAGUUCACCGUAGUGGCCCAAAUGAUCACAUGGAAUGUAUUUUUAGGCUUCAAACUUAAAUUGGGUCCUGUUCCCUCUUCGCAGGCUAAUGUGUCUGCCUGGGAACCUUCCCCUUGUGCAUGGCUGAGUAGUGAGGGAGCGACUUCUGUGGAAUCAGGCCCCAUUUGAACCUAGCUGCAACAAGGACCCAGAAGGGCCAGGGAGGGCAAAACCCAUGUGACUUUUAGCAUAUGCUGGACCCUAUGAGUGGACAUUGUCACUAAGUGUUUUAGACCAUUUCUCUACCUGGACAGAAAGAGGAAAGCCAGACACUGGUCGCCAUCACUGUCUCUCUGCUGGCUUAGUUUCUUUUUUCUUUCCCUUCUCCAUCCAAAAAGAAGCCACGCCAGCAGUGACUUGGGUCACACCUGCUUGGCCAGAAACACACUGACCGUGUGUACAGCCCAGUGCUUCAAGUGACUUCACCCUUGCGGUUUCUCAUAAACCAUGAGCUGGCUAGGCUGCUCUUCACCAGUGACAGAGAGGGAGGGUCGGUCUUGCAGUUCCUUGGAUAGGAACUUUUGACAGAAACUCUGAAAAAUAUCGCAAGAAAGCUUUGGGAUUGGUGAGUAAUUUGAAACCCUCCUACAUUUCAGUGUUUUAGCAGGUGGAAAAAAGCUUGAAGAAGGACUGCUUUUGUAAUCCUUGGCUUGCGUGUGGAUUUCGCCACCUUCCUGACCUUCCUGUUUUCACGCUUCCUGGUUUUACAAAAAUUCAUCAGGUUUUUUACUUGCCUGAGCUUGACCCCAGAGGACACAGUCAUGUGUAUGGGACAUUGCAAUUGUCUUCAUUUUGCUCUUGCCGCAACAAAAUGCCCUGACAAGCAAAUGGUAGGGAGAAAGGGGUUAUUUUAUUUUAUUAAAGACUUAUUUAUUUUUUUGUGCUUUGCAUGUAUGUCUGUGUGGGGGUGCCAGAUUCUCUAGAACUGGAAUUAGUUAUAAGCUGCCAUGUGGGUGCAGGGAAUUGAAGCUGGGUUCCCUGAAAGAGCCACCUUCCCAGCCCCCAGAAAGGGUUUAUUUUAAAUCACAGUUCUAGAUUAUAGUCUCAUCGUAGCGGGGGAGCCAGGGCAUCAGGAGUGUGAAGCAGCUGGCCACAUUCUAAUCAUAGACAGAAGGAGAGAGCAAUGAGUGUGUGUACAUGUGCUCUGUUUACUUCCUGCCUUGUUACACCAUCCAGGCUUCCCUGCCUAGAGAAUGGUACCAAGCAGAAUGGGCCUCUCUUCCACCUUAGUUAAUGUAAUCAAAGGAUUGCCCCAUCCUCAGGCAUGCGCAGAAGCUUCCUGCCCCCGAGGUGAUUCUAGGUUAUGUCAAGUUUACAGAACUGUAGCAACAAUAUUGGCUGCCAUUUGGACAGGAGUCAGGCUGAGUCAGGAGAACUGAGGCAGUGGCUCCAGAUGCUCACCCAGGCCUAGAGUCUUUGAAAACUUUGGGGUUUUCAAAAAGCUGGGUGUGGUACACACCUGUAAUCUCAGCUCUCAGGAGGUGAAGUGUGAGGAUUAACCGUGAGUUCAAAGCCAGUUUGGUGUCUGUAAGCCUGGUCUAUAGAGUGCCAGACCAGGCAGGGUUACAUAGUAAGGUCCUAUCUCAGCAACAAGAAGGAUAAAGACGUGAUGUAAGAAGCUGGUGGGUGGCCCAUUACAUAUCUCUGCAUGUCCAAAAGAAGUGAAAAGAAGGGGCUGAGGGAGAUCUUUGCAUAUCCAUAUUCAUAAAUAACCUUAUUCGAAGUAAAAGAAGGGGGAGAGCCCCCCGAGUGCCUGUGGAUGGAUGAAUGCUGCGUUAAAUGCAGUCAAAUAUUAGGCAUUUGAAGAGAAGGGAAUUGGGACACACCAUCCACCAUGGGUUGACCUUGGUACUUUGCUAAGUGAAGGCAUAGAUAGGGUAUAACUAGAAAAGGUUGCUGUUACCAGAGUCUAGAACAAGGAGGAAGUGGGGAAUUUGUACUUCAAGCAUACAAAGUUUUAUUUGGGGAGGAUGAUGGUUGUCCAACAUGAAUAUACUUGACGCCCACAAGAUUGCCUACCUAAAAAGCUAACUUCUGUGUAUAUCAACAAUAAAACAUUUAAGGUGAUAAUGCUGUUGGA